rnacentral:lncRNA from 1 species
GAGGGGCUGAACCUGAACCAGCUGCUGUAUGAGGGGCUGCAGUAUGAGGGGCUGCAGUAUGAGGGGCUGCUGUAUGAGGGGCUGCUGUAUGAGGGGCUGCUGUAUGAGGGGCUGCUGUAUGAGGGGCUGCUGUAUGAGGGGCUGCUGUAUGAGGGGCUGCAGUAUGAGGGGCUGCUGUAUGAGGGGCUGCUGUAUGAGGGGCUGCUGUAUGAGGGGCUGCAGUAUGAGGGGCUGCAGUAUGAGGGGCUGCUGUAUGAGGGGCUGCUGUAUGAGGGGCUGCUUAUGAGGGUCUGCUGUAUGAGGGAUGCUGUAUGAGGGAUGCUGUAUGAGGGGCUACUGUAUGAGGGGCUGCUGUAUGAGGGGCUGCUGUAUGAGGGGCUGCUGUAUGAGGGGCUGCUGUAUGAGGGGCUGCUGUAUGAGGAGCUGCAGUAUGAGGGGAUGCAGUAUGAGGGGAUGCUGUAUAGGGGCUGCUGUAUGAGGGGAUGCAGUAUGAGGGGCUGCUGUAUGAGGGGAUGCUGUAUGAAGGGAUGCUGUAUGAGGGGCUGCUGUAUCAGGGGCUGCAGUAUGAGGGGCUGCAGUAUGAGGGGAUGCUGUAUGAGGGGAUGCUGUAUGAGGGGCUGCUGUAUGAUGGGGCUGCUGUAUGAUGGGGCUGCUGUAUGAGGGGCUGCAGUAUGAGGGGAUGCUGUAUGAGGGGAUGCUGUAUGAGGGGAUGCUGUAUGAGGGCUGCAGUAUGAGGGGCUGCAGUAUGAGGGGCUGCAGUAUGAGGGGCUGCAGUAUGAGGGGCUGCUGUAUGAGGGCUGCUGUAUGAGGGGCUGCUGUAUGAGGGGCUGCUGUAUGAGGGGCUGCUGUAUGAGGGGCUGCAGUAUGAGGGGCUGCAGUAUGAGGGGCUGCAGUAUGAGAGUCUGCUACUAUUACAAUGUAGAAAAUAGUACAGGUAGACGAGAAGUAUCCCCUUUACAGUAACAAAUCCUCCAUUUAUCUUCUUCCUGUGCUGACUAGUCUGUUCACCUGGGGUGGGCAGGUGAAGCCAGGCCGAUGGGCAUUCUGAGGGCGGAACCCAGCAUAACGAUGAGAUCCCCAUUGGUUGGUUGGUGGGAUGUCCGGGAGGGAAGGGGAACGGGCCUGCUGGUGGGGGGCGGCUUUGCUCUCCUGAG